ensembl:misc_RNA Y_RNA Y RNA
GGCUGGUCCGAAGGUAGUGAGUUAUCUUGAUUGUUCACAGUCAGUACAGAUUGAACUCCUUGUUCUACUCUUUCCCCCUUCUCACUACUGCACUUGACUAGUCUUUA